rnacentral:rRNA from 1 species
UACAGAGGGUGCAAGCGUUGCUCGGAUUUACUGGGCGUAAAGCGUACGCAGACGGUGAGAAAGGUCGGAUGUGAAAGCCCCAGGCUCAACCUGGGAACUGCAUCCGAAACCAUCUCGCUCGAGUGUGGGAGAGGGAAGCGGAAUUCCUGGUGUAGAGGUGAAAUUCGUAGAUAUCAGGAGGAACACCGGCGGCGAAGGCGGCUUCCUGGCCCAUUACUGACGUUCAGGUACGAAAGCGUGGGUAGCAAACAGG